GUUUGGAUGCUGAGCAUCAAAUAAAAGACUUACCAAAAAAUGUUCAGGGGAAUGGACCAAGAAACCGUCUUCUAUCUUGCCUUUUUCUAUGUAGCGUCUUUAUAAAAGAAAUGUUGCAUCUUUGUGGUUGGAUUUUCAAAGGUAAAGCUGUCCAAUGGGAGAGGAGAAGGACUGCUGCUUUCCAGGCAACUUCCUUGAAAAUUCAAGUCAUUUAAGAAGAAAGACAACUGAACAGGUGUGAUACACAGGUGCUACGAAGGUAAAGGAGACCACAGCUGAGCCCAAGGAGCUUGUAGCAGGGAAGACAACAGUGUGCUGUAGAGACUGAUGCUGUGGGAGCCACCAGUGGAGAAAUCAGAAUGAUUCAGAGGCAAUAAGAAAAUGGCAAACAUGUAAAAACAGAGAGAAGGGUGGAUUAAAACCUUGUGCAUUCACUGCCCACCUUCAACCAUCACUGACACAAGGCCCACCCUGUUUUCAUCUCCUACUUGCUGGAUUAUUUUGAAGCCAUCAUUUCACCUGUAAUUCCCUCAUCUUAUAGUCAAGACUGCUUUUUUGAUCUCACCUUUCUCUUCACUCACUCCCACCCACUCUGGGCAGUGAUCUGAGGACAAUAGGUUACCGAGAGAAAAAAACAUUCUCCAUAGAAAAUACCAAACUGGCCAGAAGAGAGUGAAAGUCCUCUGAAUCAGAGAAAGAUGAGGAGGUGGAGCAAAGCUUCACUCCAGGACUGGGAGGUGCAGAAAGACCCCCACCCCCCUCCCAGGUGGGGCAGCUGGGGCUUCUGAGAGGUGAAGAGGGGGCUCAAAACAGGGAAAGGUCACAAACCUAGGAGCCAGCGCAGGGUGUGGAGCAGCUUCUGGAUUAGAACCAUUGAAGAUCUGCUGACUUUCAUUCCGGCUUCUGGACUGAAGGGCACACGCUACUCAAUGUGGAGAGCUUUGGAGGGAGAGGAAGUAGGUGUUCAUCGCCCAAGGAGAGGGAAGAUGUGUUCCCAGAACCACCCCCGUGUGCUGCUUGCUAAGGACACCCAGUACUGUCACCUGACUGACUGAACCAAACUUUACUGAAACCCUGU